rnacentral:rRNA from 1 species
GAACCUGCGGAGGGAUCAUUACAGAGUUGCAAAACUCCCAAACCAUUGUAAACCUUACCGUUACCGUUGCUUCGGCGGGUGGCUCCCCUAGGGAUGCCGCGCCCUCCCUUUAGGGUCGGCAGCCCGCCAGAGGUAUACUAAACUCUCGUAUCCAUUGGCAUCUCUGAGUAACUUAUAAAAUAAGUCAAAACUUUCAACAACGGAUCUCUUGGUUCUGGCAUCGAUGAAGAACGCAGCGAAAUGCGAUAAGUAAUGUGAAUUGCAGAAUUCAGUGAAUCAUCGAAUCUUUGAACGCACAUUGCGCCCGCUAGUAUUCUGGCGGGCAUGCCUGUUCGAGCGUCAUUUCAACCAUCAAGCCCCAGGCUUGUGUUGGGGCCCUGCGGCCGUCCGCAGCCCCCGAAAAGCAGUGGCGGGCUCGCUGUCACACCGAGCGCAGUAGUAUAUCUUCGCUAGGACGUGAUUACGGGUUCCGGCCGUUAAACACCCCAAUUUAUCAAGGUGACCU